rnacentral:sRNA from 1 species
UUUAUUUACUGUUUGCUCCUGAAGAGCGUGAUACUAACACCAUCUGUCCUUUUCCUCCCAGGAAAGCUCGUGUAUGAGCGCAUCUUUUCCAUGUGUGUGGAUAACCGCAGUGUCUUACCAGAUCACUUUUCUCCAGAGAAUGCAAAUGACACGGCCAAGGAAACAUGCCUAAAUUGGUUUUUCAAGAUUGCCUCCAUCAGGGAACUCAUUCCAAGAUUUUACGUGGAGGCAUCCAUCCUGAAAUGUAACAAAUUCCUCUCCAAAACGGGAAUUUCAGAGUGCCUGCCCCGGUUGACAUGCAUGAUCAGAGGGAUCGGAGACCCGCUGGUGUCGGUUUAUGCCCGUGCCUACCUGUGCCGGCAGAGGCCAAAGUGUGUAUGCGUCGCCCACUGCUUGAAACCUGGGGGGGAUUUUCCAUCCAGAGAUAUCAGGUGGGAAUGGAAGUGGCCCCACAUCUCAAAGAAACCCUAAAUAAGAACUUUUUUGACUUCCUCCUUACGUUCAAACAGAUUCAUGGGGAUACGGUCCAGAACCAGCUGGUGGUCCAAGGAGUGGAGCUCCCAU